UCUGGAGUCCUGACAACUUCCCGAGCCAGAGCCCCUCCCCUGUGCAAGGCUGAAGGUUUCUGUUCAGAAGCUUUGCUGAGUGUCUCGUUCCAACUCACGUGCAGGCCUGGGCACACACCAGCAGGCAGGCCCAUUUCCUCGUUCCAGUCUGCAAAGCACACUGGAUGCCAACGUGGCGCAGGCCCAGUGCUAAGCCCACCUGUGUUUUCUCGUCAGCCCCUCGGUGAAGCUUAACCUGCAGAUCUCCAGGUUUCCUCCCAGCUCUGGGACUUGGUGGGUCUCCCCAGAGCUACAUGAGGAAGGAUCCAGGUCAAAUAGCAGAUCAGUGGCAAAGCUGGGAGAUACCCAGGUCCCCAGAGAUGCUCAGGGCUCUUCCAGCAGGCGUCCAGGGUCACGGGGCCCAGGCAGGAACUGAGGAUGAGGAAGGGGCCCCUGCUUUCACUCUAGAGUGUCCUUGAGGGAGUCAAGGGUCAAGGGUACUCGCAGAAUUACAAAGAAAGCCUCUUCCAGCUUUCCUUCGGGGAUGAAGGGGAUGAGGCAGGACCCUUGGUGGGUGAUGAUGGGGGUAUUUCCAGCCUUGGGCUGGGCUCCAGCGCUCUGGCUCUAUUCCCCAGAGAAGCCAGGCCGGGGAGGGGUGGGGGGUAGCGAAGGAAUCACUGCAGGUGACUGGACGUGUCAAAGAGGGUCGCGGAGCUGCCCACUGAGACAGGGACCCACUCCCAGUGGACGGCUGGUGUUUAGGCAAGAAUUUCAGAGAUGCAGUGGGCGAUGCAAACUACCUAGUCGUAUUGCCCAUUUUACAGACUUGAAAACAAAGGGUCGGAGAGGGAAGGAUUUUACCCAGACUUCAUUCUGUCCCCCUGCUGCCUGUGACCCUGAAGGACAGCUGCCUAAUCUCCUGGAGCAGGCAAAAUACACCAGGUGCCUCUGCUCACAAGGCUGGUGGUAAUUCAUUCAGAAAGGAAAACCAACCAAUAGGAACCUGGAACCUCUACGAGGAUGCAGGCCCAGGGCUCAGGUGCAGCACGGCAUGGGGAACUCGGCAGAUUUUUUUUCUUUUUUUUUUUUUUGCUAUUUCAUGAUGAUAUAUGUAUAAAAGCAGAGCCUCCUCCUCCAUGGUGAGGCAGACCUGCUGGUAGGGACAAGGACAAAGAAACAGGGUCCAUAGUCAGGGGACCACCCCCUCACGGCACCGUGUCCUGGCAGAGGACAGCUGGGUGUGCACAUGGUGCCCGGUGCACGGGUCCAACUGUCCCUGGCCUGAUCCUUCCCUCCAGCCCGCCAGCCUCCACUGCGGUGUCCAAAUGGAAGAGACAGACGUUCUAUUUCCAAAAAAGGGAAAAUAAGCAUUCUCGCCUCCCUCCAUGUGCACACAAACACAGACUCUUCCGAGCCUUAGAUGACACAGGUAACAAGGCCUUUUACCCGCCUUGGUUUUGAACCGGACAAUUACUGAAGCACAGCCUGGAGCAGCAUUGGACACCACCUCAUCUCACAAAUGGGGAGACUGAGGCCCAGAAUGGGGAGCUCGAGGUCGGCCGUCUCAGCAGUCUGAGCCCAACUAGGGCAGAUUUUCCAUCUCUGACCCGAGCCCAAGGCUCCCUCCAAGCAAGUCAAGCCCCCUCAACAGGGCCCAAGGCGCAAGGGCCAGGGGACACCCCCUCAGGUAAUACACGUGGCUCCCAGCCAGAGGGAAGGGCAUCGUGAGGCAGGUGCAGGAUGCAAGGACCGUCGCACACCCCAUGGCCAGCCCGAGUCACCAAAUGUGGCCAGGGAAGGGCAAACAGGUCCUGUUGUCCCUCUGGUUUAGCCAAGACGGGGUUCACAGUGUUUCUCUAAACCAAGCUCUAGCGCUUCUCCAGUCACUCACAAGCCUCCCAUGAACAGAACCAAUGCCUGGCCUCCCUUUACAAACAAAAGCAACACACACACACACACACAACACACACACACACACACGCGAGCUCUCCAUGCCUGGCCUCCUCUUUACAAACCAAAAGCACACACACACACACACACACACACAACACACACACACACACACACGGCCGAGCUCUCCACGCUUUCUAGAACAUGACCAUAAAAUACACUUGGACAAGACCACCACAGGCUGACGUGAAAGAGGCGGGCCCCACAGACAGGCCACGGGUCUCUAGCACUUUCCUUCACCUUCUCUGAACCUGGUUCUGCUCCGUUUUAAGUUCUUAGUCUGCAGUCUGGAAAGUCAUGGCUGGGCAGCCAGGACAGAAGUUGGGGUGCAGUCACUCCUCCCAUCAGCAGUUUCUGCUCACAAGGAAGGGGGGCAUGGCUUCCCCUCCCCGCCCCAGGACACCCUGGCUCCCAUGGUGACUCAAUGUCAAGAGCACACAGAGGGAAGUCUUUGCAGAGGUCUGCGAUAUCUCAGCAGCUGAGUCCAAGCUGGAGGAGCUGGUGGCUGGGAUGCCUCAUGGUCCAGGGGAGUGGGGGGGGGGGUGAAAGGGAGCCCUGGGCCCUGGUCUUGGGCACAGGGAGGUGUCAGGUGCUUCAGGAUUCACUGAUAUCACAGGACAGCGGCUGGUGCAUCCAAAUCAUGGCUUUGACUUCAGAGGAGGCGGGAGAGGGGAGCCUUAGGGGCUGUCCGUGGUAGGCGCGGCGGGGGAGCAGUUUCUCUGAGGCCUCUGUCUCUCAACCUUCUGCAGCUGAUGCCAGGGGACAGGAGGGGUGGAAGGCAGGCUACCAGAUGAACUCGGCCUACCUUGAGUCAGGGGCAAAAUAAAGGAGGUGGCCAGUGGCUUCUUCCA
ensembl:lncRNA